UGCGUAGGCGGAAUAGUAAGUCAGGGGUGAAAGUUUGCGGCUCAACCGUAAAUUGCCUUUGAUACUGUUAUUCUUGAGCACAUUUGAGGUAGGCGGAAUGUGUUGUGUAGCGGUGAAAUGCUUAGAUAUAACACAGAACACCGAUUGCGAAGGCAGCUUACUAAACUGUAACUGACGCUGAUGCACGAAAGCGUGGGAUCGAACA
rnacentral:rRNA from 1 species